UACGAAGGGGGCUAGCGUUGUUCGGAAUUACUGGGCGUAAAGCGCACGUAGGCGGACUAUUAAGUCAGGGGUGAAAUCCCGGGGCUCAACCCCGGAACUGCCUUUGAUACUGGUAGUCUCGAGUCCGGAAGAGGAGAGUGGAACUGCGAGUGUAGAGGUGAAAUUCGUAGAUAUUCGCAAGAACACCAGUGGCGAAGGCGGCUCACUGGCCCGGUACUGACGCUGAGGUGCGAAAGCGUGGGGAGCAAACAGG
rnacentral:rRNA from 1 species